rnacentral:rRNA from 1 species
CCUACGGGGCGCAGCAGUGAGGAAUAUUGGUCAAUGGGAGAGAUCCUGAACCAGCCAAGCCGCUUGAGGGAAGACGGCCCUAUGGGUUGUAAACCUCUUUUGUCGGAGAACAAAACCCGGGACGUGUCCCGGCCUGCGUGUAUCCGAAGAAAAAGCAUCGGCUAACUCCGUGCCCGCAGCCGCGGUAAUACGGAGGAUGCGAGCGUUAUCCGGAUUUAUUGGGUUUAAAGGGUGCGUAGGCGGUCCGUUAAGUCAGCGGUAAAAUUGCGGGGCUCAACCCCGUCGAGCCGUUGAAACGGGCAGACUUGAGUUGGCGAGAAGUACGCGGAAUGCGCGGUGUAGCGGUGAAAGGCAUAGAUAUCGCGCAGAACUCCGAUUGCGAAGGCAGCGUACCGGCGCCAGACUGACGCUGAGGCACGAAAGCGUGGGGAUCGAACAGGAUUAGAUACCCUAGUAGUC